rnacentral:rRNA from 1 species
UACGAGGGGGGCAAAUGUUGUUCGGAAUCACUGGGCGUAAAGGGAGCGUAGGCGGGUUUUUAAGUUGGAUGUUUAACCCCGGGGCCCAACCCCGGAUCGGCAUCCAAAACUGGAAAUCUUGAAUAGGGGAGAGGUCAGUGGAAUUGGAGGUGUAGCGGUGGAAUGCGUAGAGAUCUCCAAGAACACCAGUUGCGAAGGCGGCUGACUGGACCAAUAUUGACGCUGAGGCUCGAAAGCAUGGGGAGCAAACAGG